rnacentral:misc_RNA from 1 species
UCCGAUUUGUCACCGGCAGUCUCCUAUGAGUCCCCGACAUUACUCGCUGGCAACAUAGGACAGGGGUUGCGCUCCCUUGCGGGUCCUUCACCUUUCGGAUCCGUACCACGUACAUGUCAAACCCAGGUAAGGUUCUUCGCUUAGCAUCGAAUUAAACCACACGCUCCGCUGCUUGUGCGGGCCCCCGUCAAUUCCUUUGAGUUUUAGCCUUGCGGCCGUAGUCCCCAGGCGGAGUACUUAACGCGUUAGCUACGGCUCUCAGGGGGUCGAUACCCCGAAAACCUAGUACUCAUCGUUUAGGGCGUGGACUAC